rnacentral:rRNA from 1 species
UACGGAGGAUGCGAGCGUUAUCCGGAUUUAUUGGGUUUAAAGGGUGCGUAGGCGGUCUGUUAAGUCAGCGGUAAAGUUGCGGGGCUCAACCCCGUCGAGCCGUUGAAACUGGCAGACUUGAGUUGGCGAGAAGUACGCGGAAUGCGCGGUGUAGCGGUGAAAUGCAUAGAUAUCGCGCAGAACUCCGAUUGCGAAGGCAGCGUACCGGCGCCAGACUGACGCUGAGGCACGAAAGUGUGGGGAUCGAACAGG